UUACAGUUGUGUCUGCAGAUUGUCUUUCCAGACGGUCUCACUCUCUAACUAAAUGGAACUUUCAUUUCCUGGUCUGUAAAUGAGCCUCUCCCUCUGCUUUUGUUUGAUAUUUAUUUAUUCGGUUUAUGUGACAGGGACGAUGCACAUUAAUCAACAUCUCAGCUUUCACAUCACUGUAAACGUGUCAGACCCUCACUCCCUCUCUCUCUCUCCCUGUCUCUCUCUCUGCUCCCUCCUCCCUUCCUCACGCUGUAGUAGCCUCAGCGUAACUCCAAUCAGCAAAUCAGCAGCGUAACUCUAAUGAGCGAAAUUGCUUAUGAGGGGAAUCUGUUUCCGAUGGUGGGGCAGAUGAUUAAUGCGCACUGACAACAUGUCUUUCCUCGAGGAGCUUUGCCGGGCUAUGGCAGCUGUGUGAUGCCACCUCCUCAAAGAUGCCCCCUCUCCCUCUGAGAUGCUGACAUCCCACAGGGAGAGGGAGAAACUGGAGGGAACUGGGGAAGGGUUCACCACAACUCUAUAGUGAACAUGAUCAUGGUGCUAGAAUUACAUCCUUACUGCACAUUUCCUUAAACUGUACCAUAUAGUAUAAUGUUAACACUGUUAUGAGACAGAACUAAGCUACUUGACAAUUUUGUGCUAGUUUGCUGCAACACAAAUGACACAAAAAGGUGUGACAUUAACUACAACAUACAAGCCCAAUCACUGAGCCUGAUCUUGUGUUAUGCAUGCAGCUAACAGCUAAAAGUUAAAGACACAGUGUGACUAAUUUACGGCAGAAAUGUGCAUGUGUGGUUGACAAAACAAUCAAACAUUAGCCAGUCUGAUUAUUGAUUUUGUAAGCCUCAAAUACAGGUCACGCUCAUAUGUAUGUGCUGUUCAAAACUAGACAUUAAAAGUAAGUGUAAUUAUGGACUAAUUUGACCUGUUUCGGACUUAUGUUCAUAUUCUUAUUUUAUUGUUUCUACUUCUAUGUUUUAAUGUCAUAAGACUGUAUCUUGAUUUUUCCUUUUUUCCCCUUUUUUUUUCUUUUUACUGUUUUUUUUUUUCAGUUUGGUCUUGCAAAAAAAUUAAAACUCAAUAAAGUGUACUUUAAAUUGGUCUGACUGAAAUCACACCAAGUCACGUUUCCCAUAGUGGGCUAAGACUUACAUACCUGGAUAAUGCAGAUUUUCUCUUCCAUGUCUACAGCUCAGUGGGACUGAAACUGGCUCACGCUGCAGAGUUUGCUUGCUUGAUGUUGCCCCAGAAGAUGAAAUGUGUUGCUAGAGACGCCAGGUAGGAACCAAAACCUUAAAAGAAGAAGAAAAAAGGAUGUUAAAAACACCAUUCAAAUGAUUCAGAGCCUUAAAAGUAAUGUCGUAUUAUGAAACCUUAGCUCUUUGCCAAUGCACUUGUCAAAUAUUUGGCACAUGACGUGGUAGGUCAACUGGGAGACAGCGCAGUAGUAAUGAAUGAAUGAAAUAACUUGAGUCUUGAAUAGCACUUGCAAACUGGCACAAGGAAAGUGGUCAGGUGAACUCGCCUGUUCGCAACCUUUUCACUAAUCCCAUUAGUGUUUGGCAGUGGUAAAUAAGUCAUGUUCAGUUUGAUUUCUCUGGCGGUUUUCUCACUUUUCUCGCUUUACUUAAGAAUUCUGGGUUGUGAAAAAGUUCCAAAAAAUCAGGUUUCAGACCUGACUAGAAUGAUAAAGGUCAUCUAAAUUUAUCUUAAGUCUGUAAAGUGGGGGAACUCUCUUACAGGUCUUAUUUUUCUGGUAGCAACGCUGUCAGACGAUGAUAAGGCCUGUUUUGUGGUACAAAUGUAUAUCUAUGCUUCUGGUCACCUCUGGCCACAGCUGACACUCAUUUCAUCACAUUCAUUUACAUUUCAUCUGGCUAAUGUUACUGCUGACAUAACAAAUGUAUUAUCUAUUAACAAUUAAGUUCAAAUAAUCCAGGAAUUUAACUUACUCUGUGAUUAAAGACUUAAUUAGCCACAUUUUAAGUGCAAUAAAACCCUCAGAUAUGUGUGAAUGUGUUCACUUUGUAACUGGUGUGUCUUGGUCAUGUAGCAUCUGAUGGGCCUGGUUUAAUAAGGAACUAUUCAUCUCUAUACUUCACACCCCAAGAGAAUUUCUUAUCCACCAUAACCAUUCUGUAAAGUGACAUUACACAGACUCUGAAACACUUCUCCUUGGUUUGUAAGGCUCUAAUGUAACAUGCACCAUUAUCAAAGAAUUUCUACCUAACGACCCAACUAACCCGAACACUCCUCUCCUCAUUCCAAGCAGAUGAGAUGAGACCCUGCUGAGCCAAUGAGCUUCAACAAAACUGACUUGAUUGCCAGGGCUUCAGCGCCAAUGAUCCUAGAAUAACAAGGAGCAUAUUGUACUAUCAGCACCAAGCUGCAAAGCCAGCCAGGCCUGUUUCCAGGUUAACAGGCUCUCAGAUGCCUGAGCUCAAUGAUGGAGGUAAUGACAUCCUCAUGAUCCUGCAAUACAGGUAAAUGAGUGUCCAUACAGACAGAGGACUAAUACAAAGGGGAAGACGACUACUGAGCAGAACAGCUGGAUAUUUGAUUUAAAAUAAUCACAUUAUGACCAGAAUUAAUGGGGGCAGUCCAGUUUUAAAUUAUAGAAAAUGGUCAGAGUAUGGAUGCCCUAAGAAACAAAACAGUUAACAGAAAACAAAUGACAUUUAGUCAUGAAUAAUGAAAGAUAAACAACCUUAGCUGUGCUUAUUAUCAGGCUGAUAUACACUUUAUCCUGAUUGGCUACAACCCUACAACAACAGUGAUCUAGGCCCUGUUGAUACCUACCCAGUUAUUUUUAAAGUUAUUUGUAAACAGGGAAAAACAGAGGAAAACUGAGAUUUAAGGUAGCCAAUGGCAGAUUGUGUGCAGAAAAGAAGGAAGGCACGUUGUUUUUGAUGCUAUGCAGAAUUCUGAUUGGCUAAUGUGGGCUUGAGCGUCUCGCUACACUGCCACCUACAUGUUUGAUAUGAUCUUGAUAGCAUAUAUACAUGCUAUCAAACGAAAACUUUUCCGAAAACCUCGUGGUGUGCACGCAGAUUUUUUUGUAAACAGAGAAGGUUAAAUGUCAGUUUGUGAAAAUAGCCAGGCAAGUGUAAAUGUAGUCUAAAUUUCAACAGCAAGACCAAAGUCUGAAAAGUACACUCAUGUGAUUUCAAAUUAAUCCUCGAAAAGGAGUUCUGCAUUUUUCCCCAUUGCAUGGCAAAAAUCUCACCGUCUGUCAAAGGUUGGUCUGCUAUGACAGGACAUACUGAUAGUUAAUGGGCACAGGUGUUAAAGAAAGCAUCAACAGUUCUACCCUGCAAUUCAGGCAACAGUGUUUGCGACUCACUUAUGUUUAAAAGCGUGGCAAUUGCAAAACUCCGAGAUGGGGAUGAGGAUAAAACAUCAACUCAAAUAUUUGUGCAGAAGUCCUGUUCACCAUGUUGAAUAUUACCUCUGAGGGAAAUGUUUAGUUAGAGAUUAAUUAUAACAAAUUAGCUGUCUAAUGCUUCCUCUAAAAACAAAUAUAAGUUCUAAAUAUACUGGGAGGCUUUUGAAAGCUGUAUAACCAUGAAUUUUAUGAGUUACUUUGUUAAUGUCCACAUUUGAGAGCCCGGUCAUAAGCAUUUGGAUAUGGUAAGUAACUACGGAUUUAGGGGGUUUGAAGUGCUGGUUACACAAAAGGAAGAUUUUAACUUGUCUCCCACAGGAAUUUGAUAAGUAAACUUAGUGUCAUUUAAUAGACAGGGGAUUGUCACGUGGCAGAGUUGAACAGGGAAAGGAUCCAAAUGCAGACAAAAAAUAUAUACAUUAAAAUGGAACUAAAUGAAAAAACACCAAAAAUCUUUCUUCAAAAAAUUCCAAAAAGCAAAAUCCAACUACAGACACUGGCAAAAAACCACCAAGAGAGUAGGGAAUCAAAGAUCACAGGGAACAGGCAGACAUGCGCACAAAUCGACAUACAGUGAACCAACAAGGACAGAGGGGAAGACAGGGACGAUAACGAGCAACAGGUGAGGCUAACGUGACACAGGUGUAACUCGUUAACUGAUUAACGAAAGUCUGGAUCACAAGAACAAUUGGGAACAGAAACACUAGGGAAAAAAAACAAAGAAAAAAUACACUCAAAUAACAAAACGAAGGAAAAAUGAACAGGACAUAUUAGUGCUGGGCGAUAUGGAAAAAAAUGUGUAUCACGAUAUGGAUCAUUUUAUAUCACGAUAACGAUAUAUAUCACGAUAUAGUUAUGGUAUGCUUUCAGUUCUACGAAAAAUUUAAGUGUAUACAGCUGCACUAGUAUAGUGCCAGUACAAGACCAGCACUUAAAACUAGAAAAAUGAAUAAAUAAAUAAAUAUGUGACUGAAGUGUGUUCAUGUCUGUGCUCACCCAAAGUUAUGCAACACUCACAGAAAACGCCAAUAGUGUGAGCCAAAGCACUCCAUAAUAAUAAUAAUAAUAAUAAAUUUAAUUUGUAAUGCACUUUACAUUUACAAAAAAUCUUUAAGUGCUACAGUACACAGUAAAAAAAGAGCAGCAACGAUAAAAAAGCAAUAGAAUGACAGUCACAGAUUGGCAUAAAAAAAGCAUAAAAGAAUAAAAAAAAUAAAGAAUAUAGAGUUGCAGUGUAAGAGGCAAGGUAGUAAAAGCAUAGAGGAAAACUAACCAAAGGCUUUAUUAAAAAGGUAGGUCUUUAGGGCUCUUCUGAAGAGGUUGUUCACACUGCUAGAUAUUUCUCCUUCAAAGCUGCUCUCUGCCUCCAUCAUUGUUUACUUUACUCUUGAAGCACGUAGCAAGACCCGAGCAUGAAUCCGAGCGCUUUAUUCGCCUAUCAGGGGCAGACAGGUAAGGUGAUUUGAUUCGCCACGACUCCAGAAAUGAUUGAAAAACUACAGAAUGUCACAAAAUCACGUUUCCUCGCUGCUGGCUUCAAGGGUAGAAAUGCGCAGCCGCGCUCCCAGCUGACAGGAAGUCAAACCACUGUUGUAGUUCUUUUGUGUUGCUAGCGCGGUCAAGAGUGUUGGCUCUCACUGAGAGAUGACUACAAAAAUGGACGCACCUGUUCAUCUGGUUGUUAAACACGGCUGAAAAUGAUCAUCUUUUCAUGUUGUUCCCGCUCCUGCCCACUCCCGUUGCUUUGUUUUCCCGUCCCGUCCCGAUCAAGGAAUUAAUUAAAAAAUGACUCCCAUCCCGUGGGAUUCCCGCGGGAAUCACGUGACCCACGGGAAUUCCCGAAAAAUGUCAUCCUCUACAGGGAAGGUCCCGGAGCAGAUGAAACAGGUGCCGGAACGGCUGAAAUAGGUCCCGGAUCCGAUCAAAAGAGGUCCCGGAGCGCGCUCCGACUUGCUCCGGCACAAAUUAAGCACUGCUUAUGUGUGCUCCCCUCAUGUGUGUAACCCAGGUAACCCGCAACGGCGGGAGACGCUGGUCACGAAGAGGGCACGUAAAGCGGCGUCAUGUCGCAAAAUCGAAAGAGAAAUGCGAGCCUACAUGUCAACGCAUCCUUUUCUUUGUAAGAAAAUAUUGUUUUCUUUUCCGUUUGACACCAAAUACACUUACUGAAUGUGCAAUUAUUGUUGUUGUUACUAUGAAUCAUCUGAUGGCACAAGCCCUAUGGAUAAAAUACAGCCUAUCGCCCGAAACGAUAAAAAUAAAAAUGGCACGAUAGACAUUUUCUAUCAUGCCCACGAUAUCUAUCGUCCUAUCGCCCAGCACUAGGACAUAUCAUGACAGUAAUAAGUUGAUUUGUCUUAAAAACGAUAAAUCUAGUUUGUUGGGGUCCAGGCUGUUGUAAUUCAACAGCACCAAACAUUACAUCCUAAACCUGUGCAGGUGGGGUUUAAUGCAGUGCACAUGCAUGACACUGCACUAGAUUUCAGUUCCCUGUAAAUAGAGUCUGAGUCUAUAUAUGAAGGCUAGCUGACCUGAUAGUGUGAUACUACAAAAGAAAAGGCAGCAUUAUCAAGGCUUUACAUUUCUGCCUGUCUGCUACCACCGCUCAUAGGCCUCGUCCACGCCGCUAAGCGCUCUGGGAGUUCAGAUAAUGUUCUUGGCUGGCAGAAGACAGGUUGAUAGCUGUCAGGGACAGAAGCAGAAUAAAUGACAGGGUUUCAUUGGGGCGCCUCUAAGGAGCAUUAGGGACCUCGGGAUCCCAAUCCCCAAACAGGGGAUGAAGAAUCAUUUUGUCACAAAGGCACAGGGUCGCCCAUCACUGUCUAAUGCAUGCCGUGAUUAAUCGUAGGGAUGGAUCAACAUUAUGUCCUAUUCGGGGCGAUGCUUAAUUGCCUCCGCCAUCUAACUCAUCCAUUGCCCUAAUGGUUGUGCGUCUGCUUCUCAGACACAUGGUUAGUCUGGUGGACUGUGGCUAAGCAGGAAAGGACUCCCUUAGACAUCAUCACCAGCUUCAGACACCUUUACCCCCCCCCCUAGCUGGGAAUAUGUGGAUAAAUGGAGCCGGCUUCAUCGCCUGUAGCCCUGUGUUUAUAUUCUCAGCAGAAUGUCGGCGAGUGUUAAUGUAUGUAGAUUUCAUUUCUGAUGAGUGAUUAUUUGACUGCUCAUUUUGCCGGAGAUUUAUGGCACUCUCUCUAUCUCCUGACUGCAGUGCCACUCUUAUCUUUAAUAAAAGAGAUGAGGACAUUAAUCAGGUUUUGUUGGCGGCCCUUACUAAGACAUUAAAUGUAUUGUAUGGGGUAAGUAAACACGCUUCACAUCCCUCUCUCUCACAGCUGAAUGAGAGGGAGAGAGAGCGGAGGAGGGUGAGGGACAGAGUGAGGAGGAAGGAAAAAAAAACCCUCAUUAUAUUUAUCAUAAUUUCACAUCUGCUGUUUUUGAAGCAAUGUACCAUGAGCCCAUAAAGUGUAUUACAACUGUGCAUAAAUUCUACUGAUUUGUGGCUGGAGUAGCUAAUUCCUUGAGUACAUUUUAGAAAAACAAGCACUGAGCCCUGAAAUUGCAAUUCCAUAAAGGCUUUAAAUUACUGAGUACAGAAUCAAGAACUUGCCUGAUGUGCCGCGCAUGGCGAACGUGUUAUACGGGUACGCGGCGCUCCAAGAGAUAGAGACAAUAAAACCUGAGAUGGGUGAGCCAUAUACUCAAACAAAAUAAAGCAAUAGAAGAAAAUGUGAGAUGAGGGGGAGUGACAAUCACACCCCUGCAUCUCAUUUUACCCUUUUAACCAUAAGGAUGCAUUUGAGAGGACACGUUUCCUUUUUUCUCCCCCUCAUAAUAUCCCUCCCUCUCUCUCUCUGUCUUUGCUUCAUAUCUGUAGAAGAGUUAGUGGAUGGAUGCCAGCACUGCAUGCAAAGCCUCCUCAUUCAGAAGCAGUUAAAAUGAAAUGAAGCUCAUCAUUAGCACAAAGGGGAGGAUGUGUACUCCUUGACAAUACACUCACAAAAAUCAGGGCAACAAACACUCACACCUUCAACAUAAGCUCGCGCCCACACACACAAACAUAAAGCGGCUCAUGUGCAUCCCUUGUUUCCCCAGAACCACCACCGUAACCCGUUAAAAAGUGCACCCUUUACUUUCACUAACCUGCACUCCUUUGCUAUAGUUUUUAAGAGCCUAUCGUAAAAUAUCCUGAGCUGUAUUUUGUUAUCAUGCUAGCUUUGAGUGUCACAUCAUCAAGUUAGUAUCUUAUGUCAUUCUUUCCGGCACUUCCAUCCUCUCACCUCUGAAAACCCCACCGUUUUCUUCCCCACACUAUCUGGAGUCAUUUGGGAUCAGCGCGAACAAGAUUUUCAUAUCAGGUAAAUGAAUAUCUUUAUCACAGAGGCAGGAGCCGCGAUGCUCAGGGAGCUGGAGAGAAUAAUCACACAGAGCAAACAGUCUCAGGGAAACAGAGAGGCACUCAGUAAUAACAGCCUCUCUCAGUCUCCCACACUGCGCCCUGUGUACAUCUAAAUAGACUGCUUACCACUGCUGGAUGCUGCAGGAUGAAUAACCUUGCUGUGGCUUACUGCUGACCUUUGACAUUUAAUAAUAAUAAAAAAAAACUGAGACAAUGAUUUAGUGACAUGAUUUCCAACACAAUUUUGAUCAACAAAGAGGAAAUAUGUGAUUUUUUUUCUGGUAUUGAGACAUGAAAGUGGCAGUAGACUUUUUUACUUAUUUUGGUUGGAUCAGUGUGAGCUGCUGUGGUGCUCAGAAAAGUGCUCCAACAGUCAAGGUUUUCAUGUACUUUUGAGAAUAUCCCAACAUCUUUCUUUCCAUUGGUGAAGACAUUCGUGUUUGCCAGUGGAUAAAGCUUCAUCACUGACUAUUUCUGAUUUCACCCCCAUCACCAUAGCCUUUAUUGUGUUUUAACAAGGGUUAACCCAAUCCGAUAUUGACAUUAAGUAUCGGUCCGAUAACAGCAAAAAAACAAAAACAAAUAUCAGAUUAUAUCGGCCUGCACCUGAAAUUUCCAACAUCAGCACUUUGAUACAAGCAGUCCAUUCCAGACUCUGCUCCAGCACCUCUAUCUAUGAAAGAAAGGUUCCUACUGAGCAAUAGAUGACUAUUAGACGUCUAGUUUUUUAGGAAUUUAGAUGUUGCACUUUAACCCAUUAUUCGAUAACUAUUUAGCUCAAAAAGCAACCGUGAGUUACGUAACUGAUCUCCAAGUACUUAACCAAAAUAAUUAUGAUAGCUAUUGAGGAAUAUACAGUGUAGUAUAGAUAUAGCCCAGAUUUAGAUUUGGUCUAAGCUUGGUCUAAAUUUAGACGUCUAAAAAACUUUCAUUUUUAAACCUGUGGUAGUCUGAUUUUAGACCAGUCAUCUCGGCUACAUUUAGACGUCUAUUAGACCUCUUUUAGAACAAAAAAUGCUCAGUGGGUUGCAGCUGAGUGAAAAACUUGUCAUGCACAAGUUUGUGCCAAUAUAGAAUCAAUAUCUGUAUCGGCCAAUACUGAAGGAUAAAAUAUCAGUAUCGUACCGGAAGUGAAAAAAUUGUAUCAGAACACCCCCUUUUUUAACUUUAUCAUAAUUUCCUAAUUUUGUUAUGGAAGUUGUGUUCACACAUUAACAAAACAUUACCAUAAUUCUUCAAGAGUACUGUGCCAACAUUCAGCAGAUCUGCUUGUAUUUUUAAUGUGUUUUAUUUGUCAUUGCUUUGGUAAACCUUCAUUAGCAGUAAUAAGUAUUACACUGACACAUGUAGAAAAUGUCAAACUAGAGCCUUUCUCUUUGGUUACCCACCACAAAUUUUUAUCAUUAUUGUGUGAAUGUCAAUGUGAGUUACAGAGGUAAAUACGCUACAUGGAUCCAUAAGUAUUUUUGCCGUUUUCUAAAAAUUUCAUUCAUCUAUGUGGAAAAAAAUAAAAUUUUGCUCUUAUGUAGAAUCCCACACCAAGAGAGGCCAUCUUCUUUUUAUAACGCCUAAUACUGGUAAGUGUAAUCGCUAUAAAAUGUGUUCAUUAGAGCAAUACAGUUAAGAAAUAUUGAAAGUAUACCUUAAAGUGUCACUUUUAUAGUGAAUGAAGAGGAUAAUAUGAUCUAAAAAGGGUGUGAUUAUAUUCAAGCCUUGUCCUCCAGCAUUAUCACGGAGCUCAUAAAGAGAUGAAAUUUAAUAUGAUGCUUUCACUCACUUUAAUUGAAUUUUAAUUGCCACUUUGGACAGAGGGUUUAGAUCUAAUCAAUAAAAUAUUUAACUUUUGGGGCUCUGACGGGAAAUGGUCUCCUUGUUACCCCCUGUGCAAGCAUUCUGAGACUGACAUGAAUAAAAGCCAUGUUUAUGAGGUAGCAAAGCCAACACCUCAGUGUUUUUUUUUUUCCAUAUAGGGUUCCAGCAGGAUCCAGUGGAUAAAAAACACAAGGCGAACAAGCCGAGAUUCCAUUAAUUACACUGGUGUGGAAGAGCGGUCGGUCACCUUCAAAGGAAGGCCUUUAAUGUGCCAGAGCUAUAAAUAUUUUGAAAUGUCACACCUUGGGAAGACAGCGUCAGGCCAGAGCCGGGGUGAUAAAUCAGAGCCUGAGAAGAUCCAGGAAAGAAAAGAUGGCUCUUUGGUAUUUUAGAAAUAAUUACUGAUACAAAAGGGGUAAUGAAUGAAGCUAUAAAUUACGUUCAAACACACCAUUAGGAGAGGAUUAGUUUAUAAAACUCGUUCCUGCUCCUUAAAAUUACCCUCUCAGAAUAUUGCCCAUUUUACCCCGUCCAUAACUCAUGGAUAUAAAAAACAUGUAUGCAUAAUAUCACACUCUGUUGAUUGAUGCAAAAUUAAUUGAUUCUGUUCUGUUGCCUUUCAAUGAGAAUAUUAUUCCUGCUAAAACACAAAAUACGACACCAUCAGUCCAUCUCUUACUUACUAACAUCAUGCCAGUGUAUUAAGCUUCGUAGUCAAUUUUAUUGGUACUCCUAAAAUCUAAAGCCAAUCACUGCGUCUUUAACUUUUAUCCAAGUUUGAGCAAGUAAAGAGCAGCUUUGACCCGGACAGAGACUCACGGGCUUUGUCCCAUAUGUGAGCCAGUCAUCGUCCAGUACCAGCAUCACUGCUAUCACACACAGUUAUAAAUCUGAGAGAGCCUUGGUUAGGCUGCUGCACGGAUGGAAGGAAUUUAUCCUCAAUCCCUAUAGAGAGAGAGAGCCGGGGAGAGAAAAAUGACACGGCCCAUCCUCUAAGGCUCAUAAAAGUCUAAAUUAAAUAUCAAAUGGAACCACUGAUGGAUAGCGUCCCCUCCAUGGAUCCCCAGCGCCGCCUCUGCCUCCACUCUGUGACACGACAGGUGCUGCUCACAUGACUGGAGAGCCAGACAACUUUGUUAGUAGGAUUGUUCUCGGUUCAGUGUAAAAGCUGCUGUGCACAAAAUGAGGCAGAGAAGUAAGUGAACGCAACAAGGCGCCAUUAUUCCUCACCAUAGCCGGAUCCUCCCCUCCUUUCAAAGGGUUCUUAAAUAUUGUGCACAUCUGACUAAAUGUGGAUGUUACUUCAGUAGACUUAAGAGUGCAAUUUGUCACAGAUCUGAAUUACAGAAUAUAUGAUUUCCGUAUCCAUAUUUAUAAACUUAAGAUUCUCCCAUCCUCAGCAGAAGAACACAGUGAAAAGAUUGCUGUCAGAAGAGAACCCCGCACUGGAAAAAACUGUAAUACUAAUGCCAA